UACGUAGGGGGCGAGCGUUGUCCGGAAUCAUUGGGCGUAAAGCGCGUGUAGGCGGCCCGGAAAGUCUGGUGUGAAAACUCGAGGCUUAACCUCGAGAUGUCAUCGGAAACCAUCUGGCUAGAGUCCGGAAGAGGAGAGUGGAAUUCCUGGUGUAGCGGUGAAAUGCGCAGAUAUCAGGAAGAACACCAAUGGCGAAAGCAGCUCUCUGGGACGGUACUGACGCUGAGACGCGAAAGCGUGGGGAGCGAACAGG
rnacentral:rRNA from 1 species